rnacentral:rRNA from 1 species
UACAGAGGGUGCAAGCGUUGUUCGGAAUUAUUGGGCGUCAAGGGCGCGUAGGCGGUUCGGCAAGUCUCUAGUGAAAUCUCAGGGCUCAACUCUGAGUCUGCUGGGGAAACUGCCGGGCUUGAGUGUGGGAGAGGAGAGUGGAAUUUCCGGUGUAGCGGUGAAAUGCGUAGAUAUCGGAAGGAACACCUGUGGCGAAAGCGGCUCUCUGGACCACAACUGACGCUGAGGCGCGAAAGCUAGGGGAGCAAACAGG